rnacentral:tRNA from 1 species
GCCUGGCUGGCUCAGUCGAUGGAGCAUGUGACUCUUGAUUUCGGGGUUGUGGGUUCAAGCCCCAUGUUGGGCA